rnacentral:lncRNA from 1 species
GGAUGAUGAAAAAAAUAAUGUAAUCUACAAAGUCAAGUGUGUGUCUAUUGUUAGUUUAAACAUAUUUAUUAAUAGUGGAUUGGAAAUUUUCUCACCGGAACGGGGAUCGAAACAGGAACUUAUGUUUUGUAUAGUCCGAUGCACUAACCUAUGUUACUUUUGUAUAAUGAGGAUCAAUGGUCUUGUUCCUCGUUGAAGACCC